AUGGGCCGGUGGACGGUUGCGUCGCGUGUCGCUUGCGACAUCGCGCCGAGGAACGUCCGGGCUCCGCAGGGGAGAACGGUGGGUAACGCCCACCCGGGGUAACCCGCGAGAAAGUGCAACAGAGAGUAGACCGCCUGCCGUGGUUCGCCGUGGCCGGUAAGGCUGAAAGGGUGGGGUAAGAGCCCACCGGCGUUCGUGGUAACACGGGCGGCCAGGUAAACCUCGUUCGGAGCAAGGCCAGACAGCAGACGAUGACGCGCCCCGCCGAGUCUGCGGGUGGGCUGCUAGAGGGUACUGGCAACAGUGCCCCGAGAGAGAUAACCGUCUAAGUUGGCUUCGGCCAACGGGACAGAACCCGGCGUACAGCUGGCCCAUUCCU
rfam:Leucobacter komagatae strain VKM ST2845 L_komagatae_05, whole genome shotgun sequence.